GGCGGUGGGAUGGGGAGUGGGGUUCUUCGGGCAAAGGAUGGUUAAAAAGGUAAAAUUCAGCAUUGCGUGACAUUUUAAAUCCUGCACGAUUCCAUUCGCCGUCUCCGCACUGCAUUGUGACGCGCAGAGGGAAGCAAGGCAAUGGGGUAUCGGAGCAGAACACCAUCCAAUGCCUCUACAGUCUCACAGACCUGAAGCCUAACCUCCCACUCCUGCUGAACAUAAACCCACAAGAUCUACAGGAUCCCACAGAGGUUAUACAAGAAGCAUAACUACAGCAGUGAAGAACAUGCACUAAGGUGAAGCGAGUCCAGCUUUCCUGUUUCAAAACAAAACCAAAACAGGUUACUGUGCAGUGUGAACAUUCAGUGAUUGUGUAGCUCAGUCAUGAGAUCAACCUUGAUCCAAUUUUCAUUUUUUUAGGUUCAAAAGCAUACAUGAAUUUACUCACCUGUGAAUUCAGCCAACGGUACUGUGUCGUUAUUUGGAUCAACUACUUGUCCAGCAACUAGGAUCUAGAAAAACUGCUGCAUACCUUCUCCUCUGCAGCUUUAUAUACUGAAAUGGGUUAGAGCCAAUGCCAUAGAAGUUGGCAGUUUACCUUUAACAAAGCCUUCCCAUUCCACUGGGCUCUAAACCUCACUCUCAAGGCCUAGAUUUAGAUGCACGGAAAAACUUAAGUGUGUAGUAAAUUAAAAAAUACAUAGUGAGGGUCUGAUUUUAUUAAAUGUUGAUUUUCAACAAUAUUCAGCCGGGUGCUUAGAAAACACCAAAAUUAAUGAGGUUAAAAAGUUCUUCAGUGGCUUUAAGUAUUAUUUAGUAUGAGAAAACUUGUUGUUUCUCAUUAUGCUCUUCAACUUAGAUUUUUUUCAACCAGUUUCUAGUUAAGUGUACAUUAGAGGAGUUAAGGCCAAAUGUGUCCUGCAUUUGCAGUCAAGUCUUUUCAGAAGUUAUUUUCCCAAUAUAUUUCUUCACAUCCCACUGAACUACUACUUUGAGGGGGAAAAAAAGAGGAGUUAGAAGGUUCUUAAUUGUAUUCAGAAAUACAACAAGUUGUGUAAUUGGAACAAGUUUUCAGAUACUAAUGUUCCAGCUUAAACAUAUUAGGAAUUGGUCUGCAUUGCAUGGCAAGUCAUGACAAAUGUUCAAGAGCAAAACAAGGUUUAUUUUUGUUAUGCAAUCACCACUGUUCUAACCCGGUAGCAGUAAACAUUCCCCGAAGAAAAACACACUUAUACCAGACAUAUCACAACUCAUGGUCCUAAGCAAAUUCCACAAUAAAGGACAGUGUUAGAUACAUGCAAUAAGCAUAUUCACGUAUCAGGAACUAUUUUCAGCAUUAACCCAUUAAACUAGAAUUAUUAUUCCCUAUCUCCCACCAAUAAAAAAAAAGGCUUUGUUAGACAAGCAGUUGUAUUGAAUUCACUUCCUUUUAUUGCAGUGACAUCCCCCUGGUACAAAGUAUUAACUGCAAUAAUUACGUUAAAACAUUAGAAAAGCAUUUGUGUGUGACAGUUACAGUACAAUGUCAAAUCUCACAUCUUCGAACCAAGUGGGCCAUUACCCACUAACGCUCAGGUCUUUAAAUUGUUAUUUUUAAAUACGCAAUGUCAGAAAAAGCAUAUAAAAAGAAUGUAUGUAAAAGGAAACCUAAAUACAAGUGAACAAAUAAAUAGUUGAUUUCCUCCAGCUAUUACUGUCUUUCUAAAUCCAUACAAAGAAACCUAAUCUAUAGAAGGUAUGAAUUGCCACAUGUAAGUGAUUUCAUUUUUCAAGUAAUUAAUCAUGAUUGGAGCAAAACUAAAUUUGGUGUCAAAAUCAAAGCAGAAGUUGGAGUGGCUGCCACUAACUGACAUCUGCUGCAAACAAUUACCAUUAACUGUUGAAAUUUUAGUGUAGCAAAAACCUUGAAACUUGACCUCGUGUCUGGCGUUAGUGGACUUCUGAGAGUGCAUGUGAAAAGCAUCCUACGUUAUUUCACACACAUUACCUUAACUAUCCCCAUAUGCAUAUUUAGAUAUAUUUUAUAUAAUUUUAUACACAUAUAUGCAUGUAUACACACACUUCAUUUGGUUUCUGUGUUACAGAUCACAAGCAAUGGUUUCCUGAAUGGGCAAAACACCUUUUAAAUAAGUGUACCUGCGCACAUUUAACUUUUUUUU